UACAGAGACUGCAAGCGUUAUUCGGAUUCACUGGGCGUAAAGGGUGCGCAGGCGGCCGUGUGUGUGAGGUGUGAAAUCCCGGAGCUUAACUCCGGAACUGCGCCUCAAACUACACGGCUAGAGCAUUGGAGAGGGAAGUGGAAUUCACGGUGUAGCAGUGAAAUGCGUAGAUAUCGUGAGGAACACCAGAGGCGAAGGCGACUUCCUGGACAAUUGCUGACGCUCAGGCACGAAAGCGUGGGGAGCAAAAGGGAUUAGAUACCCCUGUAGUCCACGCCCUAAACGGUGCACACUAGGUUUUGGAGGAUUCGACCCCUUCAGGACCCAAGCUAACGCGUUAAGUGUGCCGCCUGAGGACUACGGCCGCAAGGCUAAAACUCAAAGGAAUUGACGGGGGCCCGCACAAGCGGUGGAGCAUGUGGCUUAAUUCGAUGCAACGCGAAGAACCUUACCAGGCCUUGACAUGCACUGGACCGACGCUGAAAGGUGUCCUUCUCGCAAGAGACCGGUGCACAGGUGCUGCAUGGCUGUCGUCAGCUCGUGUCGUGAGAUGUUGCGUUAAGUCGCGCAACGAGCGCAACCCCUGUCCUUAGUUGCCACCAUUAAGUUGGGCACUCUAGGGAGACAAACCCUCUAUGAGGGUGGGAAGGUGGGGAUGACGUCAAGUCAGGAUGGCCCUUACGGCCUGGGCUGCACACGUGCUACAAUGCUCGGUACAGAGGGAAGCAAUACCGCGAGGUGGAGCAAAUCCUCAAAACCGAGCCCAGUUCAGAUUGCAGUCUGCAAUUCGACUGCAUGAAGCCGGAAUCGCUAGUAAUGGCGUAUCAGCUACGACGCCGUGAAUACGUUCCCGGGCCU
rnacentral:rRNA from 1 species